rnacentral:rRNA from 1 species
CUGUGAGCUCGAUGAGUAGGGCGGGACACGUGGUAUCCUGUCUGAAUAUGGGGGGACCAUCCUCCAAGGCUAAAUACUCCUGACUGACCGAUAGUGAACCAGUACCGUGAGGGAAAGGCGAAAAGAACCCCGGCGAGGGGAGUGAAAAAGAACCUGAAACCGUGUACGUACAAGCAGUGGGAGCACAGAGCAAUCUGUGUGACUGCGUACCUUUUGUAUAAUGGGUCAGCGACUUAUAUUCUGUAGCAAGGUUAACCGAAUAGGGGAGCCGAAGGGAAACCGAGUCUUAACUGGGCGUUAAGUUGCAGGGUAUAGACCCGAAACCCGGUGAUCUAGCCAUGGGCAGGUUGAAGGUUGGGUAACACUAACUGGAGGACCGAACCGACUAAUGUUGAAAAAUUAGCGGAUGACUUGUGGCUGGGGGUGAAAGGCCAAUCAAACCGGGAGAUAGCUGGUUCUCCCCGAAAGCUAUUUAGGUAGCGCCUCGUGAAUUCAUCUCCGGGGGUAGAGCACUGUUUCGGCAAGGGGGUCAUCCCGACUUACCAACCCGAUGCAAACUGCGAAUACCGGAGAAUGUUAUCACGGGAGACACACGGCGGGUGCUAACGUCCGUCGUGAAGAGGGAAACAACCCAGACCGCCAGCUAAGGUCCCAAAGUCAUGGUUAAGUGGGAAACGAUGUGGGAAGGCCCAGACAGCCAGGAUGUUGGCUUAGAAGCAGCCAUCAUUUAAAGAAAGCGUAAUAGCUCACUGGUCGAGUCGGCCUGCGCGGAAGAUGUAACGGGGCUAAACCAUGCACCGAAGCUGCGGCAGCGACGCUUAUGCGUUGUUGGGUAGGGGAGCGUUCUGUAAGCCUGUGAAGGUGUACUGUGAGGUAUGCUGGAGGUAUCAGAAGUGCGAAUGCUGACAUAAGUAACGAUAAAGCGGGUGAAAAGCCCGCUCGCCGGAAGACCAAGGGUUCCUGUCCAACGUUAAUCGGGGCAGGGUGAGUCGACCCCUAAGGCGAGGCCGAAAGGCGUAGUCGAUGGGAAACAGGUUAAUAUUCCUGUACUUGGUGUUACUGCGAAGGGGGGACGGAGAAGGCUAUGUUGGCCGGGCGACGGUUGUCCCGGUUUAAGCGUGUAGGCUGGUUUUCCAGGCAAAUCCGGAAAAUCAAGGCUGAGGCGUGAUGACGAGGCACUACGGUGCUGAAGCAACAAAUGCCCUGCUUCCAGGAAAAGCCUCUAAGCAUCAGGUAACAUCAAAUCGUACCCCAAACCGACACAGGUGGUCAGGUAGAGAAUACCAAGGCGCUUGAGAGAACUCGGGUGAAGGAACUAGGCAAAAUGGUGCCGUAACUUCGGGAGAAGGCACGCUGAUAUGUAGGUGAAGUCCCUCGCGGAUGGAGCUGAAAUCAGUCGAAGAUACCAGCUGGCUGCAACUGUUUAUUAAAAACACAGCACUGUGCAAACACGAAAGUGGACGUAUACGGUGUGACGCCUGCCCGGUGCCGGAAGGUUAAUUGAUGGGGUCAGCGCAAGCGAAGCUCUUGAUCGAAGCCCCGGUAAACGGCGGCCGUAACUAUAACGGUCCUAAGGUAGCGAAAUUCCUUGUCGGGUAAGUUCCGACCUGCACGAAUGGCGUAAUGAUGGCCAGGCUGUCUCCACCCGAGACUCAGUGAAAUUGAACUCGCUGUGAAGAUGCAGUGUACCCGCGGCAAGACGGAAAGACCCCGUGAACCUUUACUAUAGCUUGACACUGAACAUUGAGCCUUGAUGUGUAGGAUAGGUGGGAGGCUUUGAAGUGUGGACGCCAGUCUGCAUGGAGCCGACCUUGAAAUACCACCCUUUAAUGUUUGAUGUUCUAACGUUGACCCGUAAUCCGGGUUGCGGACAGUGUCUGGUGGGUAGUUUGACUGGGGCGGUCUCCUCCUAAAGAGUAACGGAGGAGCACGAAGGUUGGCUAAUCCUGGUCGGACAUCAGGAGGUUAGUGCAAUGGCAUAAGCCAGCUUGACUGCGAGCGUGACGGCGCGAGCAGGUGCGAAAGCAGGUCAUAGUGAUCCGGUGGUUCUGAAUGGAAGGGCCAUCGCUCAACGGAUAAAAGGUACUCCGGGGAUAACAGGCUGAUACCGCCCAAGAGUUCAUAUCGACGGCGGUGUUUGGCACCUCGAUGUCGGCUCAUCACAUCCUGGGGCUGAAGUAGGUCCCAAGGGUAUGGCUGUUCGCCAUUUAAAGUGGUACGCGAGCUGGGUUUAGAACGUCGUGAGACAGUUCGGUCCCUAUCUGCCGUGGGCGCUGGAGAACUGAGGGGGGCUGCUCCUAGUACGAGAGGACCGGAGUGGACGCAUCACUGGUGUUCGGGUUGUCAUGCCAAUGGCACUGCCCGGUAGCUAAAUGCGGAAGAGAUAAGUGCUGAAAGCAUCUAAGCACGAAACUUGCCCCGAGAUGAGUUCUCCCUGAC